rnacentral:rRNA from 1 species
GAUGAACGCUGGCGGCGUGCCUAAUACAUGCAAGUCGAGCGAACAGACGAGGAGCUUACUCCUCUGACGUUAGCGGCGGACGGGUGAGUAACACGUGGAUAACCUACCUAUAAGACUGGGAUAACUUCGGGAAACCGGAGCUAAUACCGGAUAACAUGUUGAACCGCAUGGUUCAACAGUGAAAGACGGUCUUGCUGUCACUUAUAGAUGGAUCCGCGUCGCAUUAGCUAGUUGGUAAGGUAACGGCUUACCAAGGCAACGAUGCGUAGCCGACCUGAGAGGGUGAUCGGACACACUGGAACUGAGACACGGUCCAGACUCCUACGGGAGGCAGCAGUAGGGAAUCUUACGCAAAGGGCGAAAGCCUGACGGAGCAACGCCGCGUGAGUGAAGAAGGUCUUCGGAUCGUAAAACUCUGUUAUUAGGGAAGAACAAAUGUGUAAGUAACUAUGCACGUCUUGACGGUACCUAAUCAGAAAGCCACGGCUAACUACGUG